UGCCUAGCAACACCUAUCCCUACCUCCUCGUGGUACUGGCCGGGGUACGAGUAACCUUGGGGAAGAUCGGGUAACCAACCCUGGUGGGAACUUUGGUCCUAUGCUGACAGGGAAGG
rnacentral:ribozyme from 1 species